UACGAAGGGUGCAAGCGUUGCUCGGAAUUAUUGGGCGUAAAGCGCACGUAGGCGGCUUUUCAAGUCGGAUGUGAAAUCCCUCGGCUUAACCAAGGAAGUGCAUCCGAAACUGGAGAGCUUGAGUACUUAAGAGGAUCGCGGAAUUCCCGGUGUAGAGGUGAAAUUCGUAGAUAUCGGGAGGAACACCAGUGGCGAAGGCGGCGAUCUGGGAAGAUACUGACGCUGAGGUGCGAAAGCGUGGGGAGCAAACAGG
rnacentral:rRNA from 1 species